rnacentral:rRNA from 1 species
GACGAACGCUGGCGGCGUGCCUAAUACAUGCAAGUAGAACGCUGAAGAGAGGAGCUUGCUCUUCUUGGAUGAGUUGCGAACGGGUGAGUAACGCGUAGGUAACCUGCCUUGUAGCGGGGGAUAACUAUUGGAAACGAUAGCUAAUACCGCAUAACAAUGGAUGACACAUGUCAUUUAUUUGAAAGGUGCAAUUGCUCCACUACAAGAUGGACCUGCGUUGUAUUAGCUAGUAGGUGAGGUGAUGGCUCACCUAGGCGACGAUACAUAGCCGACCUGAGAGGGUGAUCGGACACACUGUGAGUGAGACACGGCCCAGACUCCUACGGGAGGAAGCAGUAGAGAAUCUUCGGCAAUGGGGGCGACCCUGACUGAGCAACGCCGCGAGAGUGAAGAAGGUUUUCGGAUCGUAAAGCUCUGUUGUAAGUCAAGAACGGGUGUGAGAGUGGAAAGUUCACACUGUGACGGUAGCUUACCAGAAAGGGACGGCUAACUACGUG